GCGGGUGUAGCUCAAUGGUAGAGCCCCAGCCUUCCAAGCUGGCUAUGUGGGUUCGAUUCCCAUCACCCGCU
rnacentral:tRNA from 2 species